AUGGGCCUGAGGACUCCUGCUCACUUCCUGGGGCUCCUGCUGCUCUGGCUCCCAGGUGUGAGAUGUGACAUCCAGAUGACUCAGACUCCACAAUUCCUGUCUGUAUCUCAGGGAGACACAGUCACCAUCAAUUGUCUUGCAAGUGAGAACAUUUAUAGCAGUUUAGCCUGGUACCAGCAGAAACCAAGGGCAGCUCCUAAGCUCCUCAUCUAUGGUGCAUCCAGCUUGGUGGAUGGGGUUCCACCCAGGUUCAGUGGCAGUGGAUCUGGAACAGAUUUCACUCUCACCAUCAGCAGCUUGGAGCCUGAGGAUGAUGCCGAUUAUUACUGUCAACAGGGUUGGAGCUACCCUCCCACAGUGAUACAAGUCAUGACAUAA